UUUUAGUUUGGGCCCCCGAAACUAAGUGAGCUACUUCGAAACAGUCUUAAGAACAAACCCGUCUCUGUUGCAAUAGAGUGGGGUGAUUUCCAAGUAGGGGCGACAAACCUACCGCACUUAGAGAUAGCUGGUUGCUCAAGAAAAGAAUUUAAGUUCAACCUUAAGUUUCUCAAUUACAAGAAAAACAAACAAAACUUAAGAGCCAUUCAAAUAAGGCACAGCUUAUUUGAAACAGGGUACAACCUCUAACACUGGGUAACAAUUAGCAAAAGGUGCCAAGUGGGCUUAAAAGCAGCCACCUCCAAAAAGCGUCAAAGCUUAACACCUAGGCUACCUCAAUACCUCCACAUACUUUUAACCCGCCAACAAUAUUGAGCAAUUCCAUAAACCUAUGGAAGAUAUAAUGCUAGAACUAGUAACAAGAAACAACUUUUCUCCAAAAUGUAAGCCUAAGCCAUAAUAGACACCCUACUGGCAAUUAACGCAUAUGAGUACACUGUAGCAACCCAACAAGAAAACCCCACAGCCUUUAACGUCAAUCUUACACUAGAACAUUUAUGGAAAGAUUUAAAGAAAAAGAAGGAACUCGGCAAAACCCAACCCCGCCUGUUUACCAAAAACAUCGCCUCUUGACUAAACAUAAGAGGUCCCGCCUGCCCAGUGACUUANUUUNACGGCCGCAGUACUCUAACCGCGCAAAGGUAGCAUAAUCACUUGGUCUUUAAAUGAGGGCUUGUAUCAACGGCAUCACGAGGGUUACACUGUCUCCUUUCUCCAAUCAGUGAAACUAAUCCCCCCGUGAAGAAGCGGGGAUAAACCCAUAAGACGAGAAGACCCCAUGGAGCUUUAAACCUAGCCACACCCCAACCCUAUAAUACCCGCUCAGUAGUUGGAAGUCUGUGUGCUCAGUUUUAGGUUGGGGUGACCGCGGAGCAUAACACAACCUCCGUGAUAGACGAGACUAUUCUCUUAUCCGAGAGCCACACCUCUAAGAAUUAAAAUACUAAUAUAAUAUGAUCCGAUAAACGAUCAACGAACUAAGUUACCCUGGGGAUAACAGCGCAAUCCAUUUCAAGAGCCCAUAUCGACAAAUGGGUUUACGACCUCGAUGUUGGAUCAGGAUAUCCCAGUGGUGCAGCA
rnacentral:rRNA from 1 species